GUGUGACUGCGUACCUUUUGUAUAAUGGGUCAGCGACUUAUAUUCUGUAGCAAGGUUAACCGAAUAGGGGAGCCGGAGGGAAACCGAGUCUUAAUUGGGCGUUAAGUUGCAGGGUAUAGACCCGAAACCCGGUGAUCUAGCCAUGGGCAGGUUGAAGGUUGGGUAACACUAACUGGAGGACCGAACCGACUAAUGUUGAAAAAUUAGCGGAUGACCUGUGGCU
rnacentral:rRNA from 3 species